rnacentral:lncRNA from 1 species
AGGAUUGAACCUCUGAUCACCAUGGAUGCUCUAGAAGAAGAGCAAUGCUCCGACAUACUAUCUUUAGAACAUGAAAUAGCCCCCUCUACUCACUCUUUACUAUUAAUGCAUCAAGUUCAAUACAUCUGAAUAUUACUCUCAUCAGAUUGCAAUUUGGGAGCACUUGAUUGAUAGAACCAUGGACCACAACCCCUUGGACUGUUC